rnacentral:rRNA from 1 species
UGCGUAGGUGGUAUGGCAAGUCAGAAGUGAAAGGCUGGGGCUCAACCCCGGGACUGCUUUUGAAACUGUCAAACUAGAGUACAGGAGAGGAAAGCGGAAUUCCUAGUGUAGCGGUGAAAUGCGUAGAUAUUAGGAGGAACACCAGUGGCGAAGGCGGCUUACUGGACGGUAACUGACGUUGAGGCUCGAAAGCGUGGGGAGCAAACA